UAACGCGUGAGGAACCUGCCUCAAAGAGGGGGACAACAGUUGGAAACGACUGCUAAUACCGCAUAAGCCCACGGCUCGGCAUCGAGCAGAGGGAAAAGGAGCAAUCCGCUUUGAGAUGGCCUCGCGUCCGAUUAGCUAGUUGGUGAGGUAACGGCCCACCAAGGCGACGAUCCCUAGCUGGUCUGAGAGGAUGACCAGCCACACUGGAACUGAGACACGGUCCAG
rnacentral:rRNA from 1 species